rnacentral:misc_RNA from 1 species
GAUGAAGAACGUAGCGAAAUGCGAUAAGUAAUGUGAAUUGCAGAAUUCAGUGAAUCAUCGAAUCUUUGAACGCACAUUGCACCCGCCAGUAUUCUGGCGGGCAUGCCUGUUCGAGCGUCAUUACAACCCUCAGGCCCCCGGGCCUGGCGUUGGGGAUCGGCGGAGCCCCCCGUGGGCACACGCCGUCCCCCAAAUGCAGUGGCGGUCCCGCCGCAGCUUCCAUCGCGUAGUAGCUAACACCUCGCGACUGGAGAGCGGCGCGGCCACGCCGUAAAACACCCAACUCUUCUGAAGUUGACCUCGAAUCAGGUAGGAAUACCCGCUGAACUUAAGCAUAUCAAUAAGCGGAGGA